UGGUUCUGGCAUCGAUGAAGAACGCAGCGAAAUGCGAUACGUAAUGUGAAUUGCAGAAUUUAGUGAAUCAUCGAAUCUUUGAACGCACAUUGCGCUCCCCAGCAUUCUGGGGAGCAUGCCUGUUCGAGCGUCAUUUCAACCCCUCAAGCCCUGUUGCUUGGUGUUGGGUCCCGCCGUGGCGGGUCCCGAAAUGCGUCGGCGGAGCCGGUUAGCACUCUGAGCGUAGUAACUCACCUCGCUUUUGAAGGCUGCCGGCCCCCAGCCGUAAAACUUUACCACUAAAGUUUGACCUCGGAUCAGGUAGGAAUACCCGCUGA
rnacentral:misc_RNA from 1 species